GUAAUCUAAAAUUAGGUUAUAUAAUUUUUCACGAAACCAAGCGAGCUAAAUCUUUUCUAAAUUUAGGAGAUAACUUUAAUGUUACAAUAUUAAUAGAUAUGAGAAUUUAGGGGUGAUAGGCCUUUCAAGUCUGGUGAUAUCUUGAUUAUAAAAAAAUAUAUUUAGUAUAUAGACAACCUAAUAAUGUUAAGGUUUUUAGGUAAUACAAUUUUAGAUUUUUAUUUUUUUUGCAUAUAUAAAAAUUACAAUUUAUAUAAAAAUAACAUAGUUUUACUUAUAGAAUGUAUAUGUAACUUAUAUAAUUAAUAAAACAAAAUAAUACUUUAAUUAUGAUUUCAUUAGUAUUAUAAAAGAUUUUUUUAAGGAACUCGGCAAAUUUUUUUCUCGACUGUUUAACAAAAACAUGCUUUAGGAUAUUAUCUAAGGUUAGACCCUGCUCAAUGAGUUAUAUUAAAUAGCCGCAGUACCUUGACUGUGCAAAGGUAGCAUAAUCAGUUGGCUUAUAAUUGAAGUCUAGUAUGAAUGGGAAUUAGGGAAUAAGCUGUCUUAUUAAAAUAUAUAGAACUUUCUAAUUAAGUGAAAAUUCUUAAGAUAAAGAAAAAAGACGAGAAGACCCUAGAAAUUUUUUAGAUAUAUUUAAAUAUAAAUAUUUUGUUGGGGCGACAUGGUAACAUAUAACUUACCAAAUUAAAUAAGAAAUUAUUUUAGUAGCAUACUUAAAUUACUCUAGGGAUAACAGCAUAAUACAUUAUUGAGAUUGUGACCUCGAUGUUGGACUAGGAAAUGAUUUACUUAAAAGGCAAAUUAGUUGGCUCUGUUCGAGCUAUUUUUCCCACAUGAUCUGAGUUCAGACCGG
rnacentral:rRNA from 1 species